GGGGCCGACCUGGCUUCGACGUGGGUGCGGAGUCGGUACAGGGCAUGCCGAGCGCCAGAUCAGCUCGUAAAUCCAGCUGGAAACAAGUAACUGCGAACGACGAACGUUUCGCCCUCGCCGCUUAAACACCGGUGAGCCUCACAACGGUUGGCCGAUGGGCCGGGCUUGAGCCGCAAGGCAAGGGCUGUGAGGUCAUUCACAUCGGCUGGCACCUUGCCGGGUCACUUGGCCGGGUGCGAGAUUCAAGGUGACUGGUCUGUCAGGUAGCGUGCUGCUGCGCGACCUGGCCGACGAGACUCAAAUCAGACAGCUACGCAUGUAGAACUGGCCGGUGAUGGCUUGCGGACGGGGGUUCGAUUCCCCCCGGCUCCACCA
rnacentral:tmRNA from 1 species